UACUGCCUACGGGACGCAGCAGUCGGGAAUAUUGCGCAAUGGAGGAAACUCUGACGCAGUGACGCCGCGUGCAGGAAGAAGGUUUUCGGAUUGUAAACUGCUUUAGACAGGGAAGAUAAUGACAGUACCUGUAGAAUAAGCACCGGCUAACUCCGUGCCAGCAGCCGCGGUAAUACGGAGGGUGCAAGCGUUACUCGGAAUCACUGGGCGUAAAGAGCGCGUAGGCGGGAUAGCAAGUCAGAUGUGAAAUCCUAUGGCUUAACCAUAGAACUGCAUUUGAAACUGUUAUUCUAGAGUAUGGGAGA
rnacentral:rRNA from 1 species